AAGUCGUAACAAGGUUUCCGUAGGUGAACCUGCGGAAGGAUCAUUAUCGAAUCGUAGGCGAGGGUUGUCGCUGGCCUCUCGGGGCAUGUGCACGCCCGAGCCCUUGAAUCCCAAACACCACAUGUGAACCCACCGUAGGCCUUCGGGCCUAUGUCUUAUCAUAUAAUCCGAAUGUCUAAUAGAAUGUAAACCCAUUUCGUUGCCUUGAAAACGUAACGAAAGAAAACUAUACAACUUUCAACAACGGAUCUCUUGGCUCUCGCACCGAUGAAGAACGCAGCGAAAUGCGAUAAGUAAUGUGAAUUGCAGAUUUUCAGUGAAUCAUCGAAUCUUUGAACGCACCUUGCGCCCCUUGGUAUUCCGAGGGGCAUGCCUGUUUGAGUGUCAUUAAAUCCUCAACCCCUCCGAUUCGUUUCGGUGGGGAUUGGACUUGGAGCGUGCUGGCGAAGGUCGGCUCCUCUUUAAAUGCAUCAGCGGAGAAAAUGCCUUUUGCGCCUCUGGCCGUUCAGCGUGAUAAUGACGUUGCGCUGCGGUCGAGCUUAAGGUCCGCUUCCAAAGGUCCUCUCGGACGAUAUAUACAUAUGACUUUUGACCUCAAAUCAGGUAGGACUACCCGCUGAACUUAAGCAUAUCAAUAAGCGGAGGAAAAGAAACUAACAAGGAUUCCCCUAGUAACUGCGAGUGAAGCGGGAAAAGCUCAAAUUUAAAAUCUGGCGGUCUCCGGCCGUCCGAGUUGUAAUCUGGAGAAGCGUUUUCCGCGUCGGACCGUGUACAAGUCUUCUGGAACGGAGCGUCGUAGAGGGUGAGAAUCCCGUCUCUGACACGGACUGCCGAUGCUUUUGUGAUACGCUCUCGAAGAGUCGAGUUGUUUGGGAAUGCAGCUCAAAAUGGGUGGUAAAUUCCAUCUAAAGCUAAAUAUUGGCGAGAGACCGAUAGCGAACAAGUACCGUGAGGGAAAGAUGAAAAGCACUUUGGAAAGAGAGUUAAACAGUACGUGAAAUUGUUGAAAGGGAAACGUUUGAAGUCAGUCGCGUCGGCCGAGACUCAACCUUGCGAUCUCGCUUGGUGUACUUCUCGGUCGACGGGUCAGCAUCAAUUUCGACCGUCGGAUAAAGGCCGAGGGAAUGUGGCAUCCUUCGGGGUGUGUUAUAGCCUUUGGUUCGGAUACGGCGAUUGGGAUUGAGGGACUCAGCACGCCUUUAUUGGUCGGGGCUUCGGCCCACGUUAACGUGCUUAGGAUGCUGGCAUAAUGGCUUUAAGCGACC
rnacentral:rRNA from 1 species